CGCACGCGGAUCGCCGCGGCCUGGGCCUGGGCGGCGCUGCCCGCUCGCUGCCGGGGAAGCGCCUGCGGGGCGCAGAGCCUCCUGCCCGCCUUCCAGGGAGGCCCGCGGGCCGUCCCAGUGCAGGCGUCUACUAGGAGGGAGGAGCUCCUGGGUAUCGGGUACCGAUGGCCGCCCCCGUGACUUGGCAGUAGGCUGGCCCUAAAGGUACCCCACCACCCCAAGACUGCACCUCUAACACCUCUAGUAACCUACUUGCAGUUGCAUCUGACUGAGCUCUGUUGCUGUGAAGAAUACAGCCCAUGCACAGAUACACAGUGAUGUGAGCAGGGAGCCACUGUGGAAAUCGAGAAUUGCAGAAGCAACCGCAGACAGGAUGGUGAAGCAACUGAAAUUAAGGAGCGUAGGCCUUGACCGUAGGUGUUACCCCAACCCCAGACAACUGAACUUACACGUAAAGGAAAAAGAAUUUAAGUCAACUUGGGUUUCCUAGUACAAGUUGAUCCAAGUUCUAUUAA